AGUGAACGCUGGCGGUAGGCCUAACACAUGCAAGUCGAACGGCAGCACAGUAAGAGCUUGCUCUUACGGGUGGCGAGUGGCGGACGGGUGAGGAAUACAUCGGAAUCUACUUUUUCGUGGGGGAUAACGUAGGGAAACUUACGCUAAUACCGCAUACGACCUACGGGUGAAAGCAGGGAUCUUCGGACCUUGCGCGAUUGAAUGAGCCGAUGUCGGAUUAGCUAGUUGGCGGGGUAAAGGCCCACCAAGGCGACGAUCCGUAGCUGGUCUGAGAGGAUGAUCAGCCACACUGGAACUGAGACACGGUCCAGACUCCUACGGGAGGCAGCAGUGGGGAAUAUUGGACAAUGGGCGCAAGCCUGAUCCAGCCAUACCGCGUGGGUGAAGAAGGCCUUCGGGUUGUAAAGCCCUUUUGUUGGGAAAGAAAAGCGGCAGGUUAAUACCCCGCUGUUCUGACGGUACCCAAAGAAUAAGCACCGGCUAACUUCGUG
rnacentral:rRNA from 1 species